CUCAGUGAUCAGUUCACAUGCAUGGACUAAAUAACAUUACCUCAGGUCAUGCAUGCUGGACAAAACGUCACGUUGAGAGUAACUAGCUGGUCGUUCAAUGCCGAUGGUAAGUGCAUGCGUUACAUGACCACUUGGUCGAUCAAUUAACUACAUGCAGGAAAAACGAAAACGGAAGGAGGUCGUUCAAUGCCGAUGGUAAGUGCAUGCGUUACAUGACCACUUGGUCGAUCAAUUAACUACAUGCAGGAAAAACAAAAACGGAAGGACGUGGUGGCCUUCAACGCCGGGUUAAUUGGCUGGAGGAUCAACUGCAUGUAGUAAACGUGGGCUAACCGUUUUGGCUAAGGUAAUUG
rnacentral:lncRNA from 1 species